rnacentral:tRNA from 1 species
GAGGAAGAAUGCAAGGGCUGCAUAUCCCUAUAGAAAAGGGGUUACGGGUUCGAUUCCUGUUAUCCUCA